CCCCACAACUGCCACAUAUCUGCCCCCACCACCCCACAACACCCCCCUUAACCCCCCCCCUCCACUCCCCCCACCCCCACCCCUUCCCUCCCGCCCCAUUGCCGACCCCCGGCGGCCGACGCAGUGGGGCCGCCCCAUAGGGCGACGGGCGUUACCUGGUGUCCAACUCCAAGGAUCAGACGGCAAAGCUGUGGGAUCUGAGGCGCCCGGCGGGGCCCGGGGGGGUGGCGGCAGCCAGGAGGGCCGUGGCCCGGCAGAGCUGGGACUACCGCUGGCAGAGAGCCCCACGGAGGG
rnacentral:lncRNA from 1 species